ensembl:lncRNA LOC103693547 uncharacterized LOC103693547
AUAAUAGAUGCAGAGACCCACAGUCAAACAUUAGAUGUAGCUUGGGAAGUAUUUUUCAAAUGUUGGGGGAAUCAUUGAGAAAACCAGAGGGGAGAGGGACUUUGCAGGAAGACUAACAGAGUCAAAUAAUCUGGACAUUGGGGGGUUGCAGAGACUGAACCACCGAUCAAAGAAAAUACAAGGACUGAACCUAGAAAAUAAUAAAUCAAUGUUGAAUAUACAUCUAACAAUCAUGUCAAAAAGCCCAAUGAUCCCAAUGCUCACAGCCAGAAAUUCUGUAGGUGUGUUCGUACCCGCUGACAGCAUAUCACAGAAAGCAAAGGCCAAGUCAUGCUAAAAUGAAUUCUAACAAAACAUCACUGGGUUCCCACGCUGAAAAUGUCAACACUGAAUAAUAACGUCAGCUGCAAAAAAAGUUGUAUAUAUUAAUACAGGACUGAGAAAAAUCUCACUUUUCUUGCUUUUUUUUUUAAUAAAAAGGAUUUUCAAUA